rnacentral:lncRNA from 1 species
AUAAACUGCACCUGUUGCAUCUGUCAAAGAGAUCUCGCUGCCUUGUUGAACCAUAUCUGGCCGAUGAGAUAUAUCUUGACGAUAUGUGGUCUGCCCAAUCUCAUUUUCUGUAGGACUUGCUGAUAUUUGAGCUAAUUGACUCACAAAAUCAAGAUUAUCAUUUGUAGAUAUAGCUCGAACAUCAAGACCUUGCAGAGGCAGUAUACAAUCCAGUUCUGAAUAAAUAGCAAUUGCAGCGUGUGAUUCAUUAUCUACUGUCCUGUUGGUUUUGUUAUUGCCCUUUGCAGCAACAUCUUUUUUGGUAUGCUCAGAAUUAACCAAAACAGAUGCUUUAUUCUGUUCUUUUUGUUGUUGUUGUCCAAACUUUUUUGAAUCAUCAAGUACAUUUGUUAUUGUCGACUUCCCCCCCUGAUUGAACUGCCAGAACAUUGUGAUCUGUAAAAGAUCUGAUGUUAUCCGAGGCCUCUAAAUUAGUUCCAUUUGUUUGAUCAAGCAGUGUUGUGUUUUUAUUGUUGGAAUUCUGCUAUAUCUGUUGUUGCUCGAUUAGCUUCUCUUCAUUGCUUUUAACAUUGUCAUUUCCUGGCACAGUAGAUAGAUCACUAGGUUCCAAAUUUGAAACCUUCUUUUCAUUUACAGCAUUAAAAGGCAACUUCGAUGGAACAUUAGCUUGCACUUUACAACAAUGUGCAGAAUCACCCUUUGACCUUAGAAGGGCUUCUGCAGUUGUACCAUUUGUAUGAGAAACCAUUUUUUGGGCUCAUAACUGCUGCACAUUGCAUCUGUGAUGCUGACCAUCAAGAUCAACCCACUGCCCAGUCUGUGCAGUAGAAGUAGUAUGAUCUGCAGUAGUCUGCAUUGCCUCUGCAGUAGUCACAUAUGUUCUUUGCAUAAAUAGUAGAGGCAGGUACAUCUCGAGAAGGUUUAGGGGGUCUUUUAUCCAACUUCAAUACCGCCUCCAUAUUCUCAACUGGAACUGCUGCAUGUGGUGCAUCUGUUACUCCAGCAAUCCCAGCACUCCUAGCCACUAUAUGUUGAUUUGCUUCACCCCUAUCAUUCCCAGUAGGUUGUGUAGCCUUAGAAUUAGCAGUCUUUUUCGUACCAUCCUUUACAAUACCAUGUUGUACUGCUGAACUUCACCCCUAUCAUUCCCAUUAGGUAGUGUAAUCUUAGAAUUUUUCGUACCAUCCUUUACACUACCAUGAUGUACUGCUGAAUCAGUUGGACCAACACCUUCCUUGAAGGCUGCAUUAUUUUCCACAUUCACACCUUCUUGUCCAGCUCUUAGCACAUUGGACUUGUAUUGCUGACCUUUCUCCACUGGUUCAGCUGAUAUAACAGUUGGAUCUCUAUUAACAUUAAAAGAAACAGAAUUCUCCAAGUAAGUACCAUUUCCUUGGCCAGGUAAUGUACUCUUAGGAUUGUUAUUAUUCUGUACCAAAAGCUGCUGCUCGAUUGUUUUAUCCUGCAUACAGACAUCUACCACAAUCUGGACAGACCUUUUUGCACUGUCACCUGAUGCUACAGAAAAUGCAGCAGUAGGUUUCCAAUUAGACACCACCAUAUCUGAAUGUUUUUCACUUAAAAUAUUCAAAGGAGUAUGUAAUGGAACAGUAUUUGGCCAUUUGGACCUUUUUGCAGUGUCUCCUGAUGCUACAGAAGAUGCAGCAGUAGGUUUCAAAUUAGACACCACCAUAUCUGAUUGUUUUUCACUUAAAAUAUUCAAAGAAGUAUGUAAUGGAACAGUAUUUGGCCAUUUACAAAUCUGCACCCCGACACCAUUUGUCCUUGGAAGAGCUUUAGCAGUUUGAAGACUUGAGUCCGAAACAUUUGUUUGUCUUGCAUCAUGAAUCACAUUAGGAAGUGUCCUUUCUCUUCGACGUCCUGCAAGAUGAGCAUUCAAAUAAUCCCUGGCAUCACCUUCUAAUUUAGCGACACUGCCCCUACCUUCAGAUUCAGCACCAUGAAUUGCUUUUUCAUUGUGUUCCUCUGUAAUCCAGCGACAUAAUUUUACAUUAUAUCCUUGAUGAUUACAAUACGUGCAGUAUUCAGGAACUUUAUCAAACACGAUCUGCUGGUCGUAUUCUGCAAUUUUUCCAGAUUUCGAAUCUACUAUCUUGAUCUGUAUUUUCUUUGGAUGUUUGUUCAGUAAAUUAAUCAAGACUUUAACUUGGGCCGUACUAGGUCGCGUUCGAUCUUUGGUAGCCUUAUCUACUGCAAUUGGCAUUCCUAUUGCAGAUGCAAUGGACAUUAAGGAUUUUUUGGCGAACAGAUUUGCUGGCAGAUCGGGAAAGGAAAUCCAAGCC